AGCGAACGCUGGCGGCGUGCUUAACACAUGCAAGUCGAGUGCGUAGCCCUUUGUAGCAAUACAGAGGGUGGGCGCACGGCGCACGGGUGAGUAACACGUGGGUAAACCUGCCCUUCGGUGGGGAAUAACCCCGCGAAAGCGGGGCUAAUUCCGCAUAACAUUCCGGGGACACAUGUUCUCGGACUCAAGGGAGUGAUUCGCC
rnacentral:rRNA from 1 species